AUGCUGCAUAAAGUCUACCAUAUCACCCGGGACUUUGACUUUACAAAAACUGUCCAGACCCUCCUAGAAAACCGCAGCUUCUAUGUGGAGUUUCAAGGCUGGAAAAGCAGAUGGAGGAGGCAAAAGAAUGGUUUACCCCAAGGCAGCGUUCUUGCACCGACCUUAUUUAACAUCUUCACGAACAAUCAGCCACUACCACCACUCACAAAGAGCUUUAUAUAUGCUGAUGACCUUGGACUUACAACACAAGUGAAAGAUUUUGAAACAGUUGAAAAACAACUCACGAAUGCCUUGAAAGAUCUCUCCAGCUACUACAAAGAGAACCACCUGAAGCCUAACCCUGCCAAGACACAAGUGUGUGCUUUCCACCUACGUAACCGUGAAGCCAACAGGAAACUGAAAGUUACUUGGGAAGGUCAAGAGCUCGAACACUGUUUCCAUCUUAAAUAUCUUGGUGUCACCUUAGACCGAACACUAACAUAUAGGAAACACUGCUUGAACAACAAGCACAAAGUAGCUGCACGCAACAACAUCCUAAGGAAACUGACUGGCAGUGCAUGGGGUGCAGACCCACAAGUAAUAAGAACAUCAGCCCUGGCCUUGUCUUUCUCAACUGCUGAGUACGCUUGUCCUGUUUGGCACAAGUCUGCCCAUGCGAAGCAGGUGGACAUAGCACUAAACAAAACAUACAGAAUAAUCACAGGAUGCCUUAAACCUACACCUGCUGAUAAACUCUACAAGUUAGCUGGCAUUGCCCCUCCUGAUGUGCGACGGGAAGUUGCUGCUAAUUGCAAGAGAAAUAAGGUUGAACAUUGUGAAAACUACCCACUGCAUGACUAUCAGCCUCCUCCCACCAGACUCAAAUCAAGGAAGGGCUUCAUGAGAACCACCAUUCCUCUUGAUGUUCCUCCAGCAACAGCAAGAGUAUCCCUCUGGGCAGCUAAACCUGGCCAUUCUAACUGGAUAGCCUCCCACGCGGGACUUCCUCCAGGGGCAAACCAAGAAUGGGCAACUUGGAAGUCCCUAAACAGACUCAGAAGUGGAGUGGGCAGAUCAAAAGACAACUUGGCAAGGUGGCACUACCUGGAGGAAUCCUCCACCUUGUGUGACUGUGGAGCAGAACAAACAACUCCGCAUAUGUAUGCUUGUCCACAAUGUCCUGCCUCAUGUAAAGAGGAGGAGUUGCUUAAAGCUAUGGACAAUGCGGUUGCUGUUGCCCGCUUUUGGUCUAAAACUAUUUAG
ensembl:lncRNA